rnacentral:rRNA from 1 species
UACGUAGGGUGCGAGCGUUAAUCGGAAUUACUGGGCGUAAAGAGUGCGUAGGCGGUUCGUUAUGUCUGUGGUGAAAGCCCUGGGCUCAACCUAGGAAUGGCCAUGGAAACUGGCGGGCUGGAGUAUGGCAGAGGGGGGUGGAAUUCCGCGUGUAGCAGUGAAAUGCGUAGAGAUGUGGAGGAAUACCGACGGCGAAGGCAGCCUCCUGGGCCAACACUGACGCUCAUGCACGAAAGCGUGGGGAGCAAACAGG